UGGGGAAUAUUGGACAAUGGGCGAAAGCCUGAUCCAGCCAUGCCGCGUGAGUGAUGACGGCCUUAGGGUUGUAAAGCUCUUUUACCCGGGAAGAUAAUGACGGUACCGGGAGAAUAAGCCCCGGCUAACUUCGUGCCAGCAGCCGCGGUAAUACGAAGGGGGCUAGCGUUGUUCGGAUUUACUGGGCGUAAAGCGCACGUAGGCGGAUUCUUAAGUCAGGGGUGAAAUCCCGAGGCUCAACCUCGGAACUGCCUUUGAUACUGGGGAUCUUGAGUUCGGGAGAGGUGAGUGGAACUGCGAGUGUAGAGGUGAAAUUCGUAGAUAUUCGCAAGAACACCAGUGGCGAAGGCGGCUCACUGGCCCGAUACUGACGCUGAGGUGCGAAAGCGUGGGGAGCAAACAGG
rnacentral:rRNA from 1 species